UUAAGUCAAAUUUGUAUGGAACUUAAAGGUUUGCCUAUGUUUGCCGCUGGGGACACUGUUCCAGCUGAAUACAAAUUUCAGGUU
rnacentral:pre_miRNA from 1 species